rnacentral:rRNA from 1 species
ACACGACUCUCGGCAACGGAUAUCUCGGCUCUCGCAUCGAUGAAGAACGUAGCGAAAUGCGAUACCUGGUGUGAAUUGCAGAAUCCCGCGAACCAUCGAGUCUUUGAACGCAAGUUGCGCCCGAGGCCACUCGGCCGAGGGCACGCCUGCCUGGGCGUUACGC